CCCCCUCAGGUAGAGACGGUGCCAUCCCAGGCCAGAGCCACAUGGCACGUGGAGGAAUGGCAAGCCGCGGAAGCUACAUGAACACGGGAACGUCUCAGUCUCUGUCUGGAGCUCUCAACAGACAGAACCAGCUGAUGCAGGGCAGCGGGCUGCAGGGUGGAGCUUUUGGCCGACGCUACUAAAGUCUGUCUGCGUGAAGACAGCAGCGGGACUGUUUCAGGAGGUCACGUCGUGAAGGAUGUGGCCAUCUUGUUUUGUACGUUUUUUUAAAGUCAGGAAACCUUUUUUGGACACAAUUCCAAUCCAUUUUUGAUGGAGACCUUUAUUUUUCUGGUCACCUCUCCCUGUUUUUCUGUGUGUGUGUGUGUGUGUGUUUGUGUGUGUGAGAGACAUUGUGAUCUCCUGCCUCGUAGUUAUCAUUCAGUCCAACCUACCUUGUUUGUAAAACAGUACCGUCUGCUUACCAACGAUGUGUUUUAUAUGCAGGUUGGCAGCUGUGUUGAAGAGUCAUGUCGGAGCUCUGUGUUGUAAAUUCAGAUGUUUUAUAGACACCUGGGUCCACGGACCUCACCUCAGUCUUCUCUGUAUCCCAGUUUAUGUCAGAAGCGUUGUGGAAGUUUUCUGCCUCUGUCAGAGUUCAUUUUUUCAUAGCUUGAGGCUCCUUUUUGACCUUUGUCAAAAAGAUGUUACAAGAUACAACAUUUGCUGCUGAAGAAAAGGGUUUUUUAGCCUAUAUGUCACAUUCUGGUUAUACAUGCUUGUCAGAUUUCUUUUUAAUUUUCAGUUGUAUUGUAAAUAGUAUUUGAUUUGUGCGAUUGUUGGUUAAUGGUAAUAAAUGCCCCAGGAGCGUGUAUGUGUUCACAAUCUAUUAAUUAAAGUCUGUUAUAAAAAACAAAA